rfam:Pan troglodytes isolate Yerkes chimp pedigree #C0471 (Clint) chromosome 16, whole genome shotgun sequence.
GCUGGGCGUGGUGGCGCAUGCCUGUAAUCCCAGCUACUUGGGGGGCUGAGGCAGGGGAAUCGCUUGAGCCCGGGAGGUGGAGGUUGCAGUGAGCUGAGGUCACACCAUUGCACUCCAGCCUGGACAACAAAGUGAGACUCUGUCUCAG